rnacentral:rRNA from 1 species
UGGGGAAUAUUGGACAAUGGGCGAAAGCCUGAUCCAGCCAUGCCGCGUGUGUGAAGAAGGUCUUCGGAUUGUAAAACACUUUAAGUUGGGAGGAAGGGCAGUAAGCGAAUACCUUGCUGUUUUGACGUUACCGACAGAAUAAGCACCGGCUAACUCUGUGCCAGCAGCCGCGGUAAUACAGAGGGUGCAAGCGUUAAUCGGAAUUACUGGGCGUAAAGCGCGCGUAGGUGGUUCGUUAAGUUGAAUGUGAAAGCCCCGGGCUCAACCUGGGAACUGCAUCCAAAACUGGCGAGCUAGAGUAGGGCAGAGGGUGGUGGAAUUUCCUGUGUAGCGGUGAAAUGCGUAGAUAUAGGAAGGAACACCAGUGGCGAAGGCGACCACCUGGGCUCAUACUGACACUGAGGUGCGAAAGCGUGGGGAGCAAACAGG